AUUGAACGCUGGCGGCAUGCUUUACACAUGCAAGUCGAACGGCAGCGCGGGCUUCGGCCUGGCGGCGAGUGGCGAACGGGUGAGUAAUAUAUCGGAACGUACCCAGAAGUGGGGGAUAACGUAGCGAAAGUUACGCUAAUACCGCAUACGAUCUAAGGAUGAAAGUGGGGGACCUUCGGGCCUCAUGCUUUUGGAGCGGCCGAUAUCUGAUUAGCUAGUUGGUGAGGUAAGAGCUCACCAAGGCGACGAUCCGUAGCAGGUCUGAGAGGAUGAUCUGCCACAGUGGGACUGAGACACGGCCCAGACUCCUACGGGAGGCAGCAGUGGGGAAUUUUGGACAAUGGGGGGCAACCCUGAUCCAGCCAUGCCGCGUGAGUGAAGAAGGCCUUCGGGUUGUAAAGCUCUUUCGGCGGGGAAGAAAUGGCAACGGCUAAUAUCCGUUGUUGAUGACGGUACCCGCAUAAGAAGCACCGGCUAACUACGUGCCAGCAGCCGCCGUAACAC
rnacentral:rRNA from 1 species